rnacentral:rRNA from 1 species
AGAGUUUGAUCCUGGCUCAGGACGAACGUUGGCGGCGUGCUUAACACAUGCAAGUCGAGCGGUUCUCGUAGUUUACUUCGAGGAUAGCGGCGGACGGGGCGGACGGGUGAGUAACGCGUGGAUAAUCUGCCUGUAAGACAGGGAUAACGCCGGGAAACCGGUGCUAAUACCGGAUAACCUCUUUGGAUCGCAUGAUAUGAAGUCUUUACAAUGCUACCACUUACAGAUGAAUCCGCGUCCCAUUAGCCAGUUGGUGGGGUAAAGGCCUACCAAAGCGACGAUGGGUAGCCGGCCUGAGAGGGUGACCGGCCACACUGGAACUGAGAUACGGUCCAGACUCCUACGGGAGGCAGCAGUGGGGAAUCUUCCGCAAUGGGCGAAAGCCUGACGGAGCAACGCCGCGUGAGCGAAGAAGGUCUUCGGAUUGUAAAGCUCUGUGAUAUUAAUGGGAAGGAAUGACGGUACCAGAGGAGGAAGCCACGGCUAACUACGUGCCAGCAGCCGCGGUAAUACGUAGGUGGCGAGCGUUGUCCGGAAUUACUGGGCGUAAAGGGCGCGUAGGCGGCUCUUUAAGUCAGAUGUGAAAACCCAGGGCUUAACCUUGGGAGUGCAUUUGAAACUGAAGGGCUCGAGUGCAGGAGAGGUAAGUGGAAUUCCUAGUGUAGCGGUGAAAUGCGUAGAUAUUAGGAGGAACACCAGUGGCGAAGGCGACUUACUGGACUGUAACUGACGCUGAGGCGCGAAAGCGUGGGGAGCAAACAGGAUUAGAUACCCUGGUAGUCCACGCCGUAAACGAUGGGUACUAGGUGUUGCGGGUAUUGACCCCUGCAGUGCCGAAGCUAACGCAUUAAGUACCCCGCCUGGGGAGUACGGUCGCAAGACUAAAACUCAAAGGAAUUGACGGGGGCCCGCACAAGCGGUGGAGCAUGUGGUUUAAUUCGACGCAACGCGAAGAACCUUACCUGGGCUUGACAUCCUGUGACAGCUAUAGAAAUAUAGACUUCUUAGUUUACUAAGACACAGAGACAGGUGGUGCAUGGUUGUCGUCAGCUCGUGUCGUGAGAUGUUGGGUUAAGUCCCGCAACGAGCGCAACCCUUGUUGCUAGUUACCAGCACGUAAACAGUUGGGAACUCUAGCGAGACUGCCGGUGACAAACCGGAGGAAGGUGGGGAUGACGUCAAAUCAUCACGCCCCUUACGACCAGGGCCACACACGUACUACAAUGCCCGGUACAGCGAGUUGCAAAGCCGCGAGGCAGAGCUAAUCUCUUAAAACCGGGCCAAGUUCAGAUCGGAGGCUGCAAUUCGCCUCCGUGAAGCUGGAAUCGCUAGUAAACGCAGAUCAUCAUGCUGCGUUGAAUACGUUCUCGGGCCUUGUACACACCGCCCGUCACACCACGAAAGUCGGCAACACCCGAAGCCGGUGACUCAACCCGAAAGGGAGAGAGCCGUCGAAGGUGGGGUUGGUAAUUGGGGUGAAGUCGUAACAAGGUAACC